GUGGGGAAUCUUCCGCAAUGGACGAAAGUCUGACGGAGCGACGCCGCGUGAGUGAAGAAGGCCUUCGGGUCGUAAAGCUCUGUCAUCAGGGACGAACGGCCGGUGGAGUGGAAAGCCACCGGAUUGACGGUACCUGAGAAGGAAGCCACGGCUAACUACGUGCCAGCAGCCGCGGUAAUACGUAGGUGGCAAGCGUUGUCCGGAAUUAUUGGGCGUAAAGCGCGCGCAGGUGGGAUCUUAAGUCUGUUCUGAAAGUUCGGAGCUUAACUCCGUGAUGGGAUGGAAACUGGGAUUCUUGAGUAUCGGAGAGGAAAGCGGAAUUCCCCGUGUAGCGGUGAAAUGCGUAGAUAUGGGGAGGAACACCAGUGGCGAAGGCGGCUUUCUGGACGAAAACUGACGCUGAGGCGCGAAAGCCAGGGGAGCGAACGGGAUUAGAUACCCGGGUAGUCC
rnacentral:rRNA from 1 species